rnacentral:sRNA from 1 species
UCCCCUCCCCCUCUCCUGAUAGAAGAGGAGAAACAUUAUGAUUCUAUGGCAGUUGAUGGUGGGCUGGAGAGGGCAGUUUAGAGCAGAAAAGGGGCUAAGUUGAAUGGAUCGCAGCAGUUACCAUUGCUGCUGGGACAGCUGCAAUUGGUUAUCUAGCUUACAAAAGAUUUUAUGUUAAAGAUCAUCGAAAUAAAGCUAUGAUAAACCUUCACAUCCAGAAAGACAACCCCAAGAUAGUACAUGCUUUUGACAUGGAGGAUUUGGGAGAUAAAGCUGUGUACUGCCGUUGUUGGAGGUCCAAAAAGUUCCCAUUCUGUGAUGGGGCUCACACAAAACAUAACGAAGAGACUGGAGACAAUGUGGGCCCUCUGAUCAUCAAGAAAAAAGAAACUUAAAUGGACACUUUUGAUGCUGCAAAUCAGCUUGUCGUGAAGUUACCUGAUUGUUUAAUUAGAAUGACUACCACCUCUGUCUGAUUCACCUUCGCUGGAUUCUAAAUGUGGUAUAUUGCAAACUGCAGCUUUCACAUUCAUGGCAUUUGUCUUGUUGAAACAUCGUGGUGCACAUUUGUUUAAAC